AGACCCGAAACCCGGUGAUCUAGCCAUGGGCAGGUUGAAGGUUGGGUAACACUAACUGGAGGACCGAACCGACUAAUGUUGAAAAAUUAGCGGAUGACCUGUGGCUGGGGGUGAAAGGCCAAUCAAACCGGGAGAUAGCUGGUUCUCCCCGAAAGCUAUUUAGGUAGCGCCUCGUGAAUUCAUCUCCGGGGGUAGAGCACUGUUUCGGCUAGGGGGCCAUCCCGGCUUACCAACCCGAUGCAAACUGCGAAUACCGGAGAAUGUUAUCACGGGAGACACACGGCGGGUGCUAACGUCCGUCGUGAAGAGGGAAACAACCCAGACCGCCAGCUAAGGUCCCAAAGUCAUGGUUAAGUGGGAAACGAUGUGGGAAGGCCCAGACAGCCAGGAUGUUGGCUUAGAAGCAGCCAUCAUUUAAAGAAAGCGUAAUAGCUCACUGGUCGAGUCGGCCUGCGCGGAAGAUGUAACGGGGCUAAACCAUGCACCGAAGCUGCGGCAGCGACGCUGAUGCGUUGUUGGGUAGGGGAGCGUUCUGUAAGCCUGUGAAGGUGGCCUGUGAGGGUUGCUGGAGGUAUCAGAAGUGCGAAUGCUGACAUAAGUAACGAUAAAGCGGGUGAAAAGCCCGCUCGCCGGAAGACCAAGGGUUCCUGUCC
rnacentral:rRNA from 1 species